GCGGCUAUCGUAUAAUGGCCAUUACCUCAGGUUUCCAACCUGAUGAUCUCGGUUCAAUUCCGAGUAGCCGCUCCA
rnacentral:tRNA from 1 species